UAUCAUCAUGCAAAUCCACUUCUCUUGGUGCCGCACUUGGGAUACCACCAUCAUAUCCCCUUGACGCAGCCAUUUCUUAUGUGGUUAAGCAUCCACGAGGAAACAUAAUUUGACACCACUUGUAAGGAUCUACUAUGCCUAGAAGGGUGAGGGUGAGUAGGUCUGUUAAAAGAACACUCCAAAAUCUAUUAGCGACAUGUGUAGCAUUGCCACUUACAGCCUGAUACUAUUAUGUCAUGACACUUUUGACCUUAGAGUGACACUACCAUGUGCAUAGACUUUCUCGAGGUCACAAUUCAAAAUCUUCCCAAAGGAAAGUAGCUCGAGUAAAUUACUAAGCUUCUUAGGGUAAACUAGAGCCUAAAUCACCACUUGAAAGUUACCAUAGAAGUAGAUUAAGACAAACCUUAGAAACACCACACAAACAAGUAAUGCACAAUAGAAAGAAAGAACACAAAAAUACACAAGGAUUUAUCUCAUGGUUCAGCUCGCCACUAAGGCUUCCCUACCUUCAUGUUAUUGAGAAAGCCAGAAAGGCUUGGUUUUCUCAAACCCUAUCCUCAUUCUAAAGUCAAGAUAGUAAACUCUUGAGAUGAGUGGUUCUUACUAAAUGAAGAGGGUGGUUACAAACUUCCUAGGACUGCCACACAAGAUGGUAAGCUCUAUGGGCGACACUCUAGUUAGCUAGGAGCAAAGCUCCAAGAGUAACAAACAUAACCACUAGCUUGAAUGUGAACCAAGUGCUCUUAGAGUUGAAGAAUAGGCUGGUGAGCUCUCUAGCAUAGUUCAAAGACUCAAUCUCUCAAAGAAUCAAAUUGGAAAGGUUGAGUGAAGCUUGAGGUUCUCCAAUGAAGUGCUAAAGAGGGAGAGAGCUUUCUGGUUGAGCACAAUAAAUUCUAGUCGUUGUAAUGCCAGAGGGGUAGGGAAGAGGUAGAUAUACCCCUUUCUUGCUCAAUGAUUAGAUUUAAGGGGCAAUGGUGCUAGGUUGGGUGUGGUAGUGCUAGGGAGCGA
rnacentral:lncRNA from 7 species